UAUAUUAUUUCAUGUGUCAAAAGGGACAGAAGACUCCAAAAAUGGUCCAAAAAUAAUUUGCAUCCAAAAUACAUGGUUGCAUUCACAUUUUGAGUCCUUCCAAUGACUAUUGUAAGACUGUUACAGCAAACAUGAGUAUAUGAGGAUUUAGAUAGAUGAGAAAAUCAAUACGAGUGAUGUGGAAAUAUUUUGUCAUAUCUUCUAAACUUACCUUUGUAUCUUUAAAAAUCAAAUUAUAUAGUGCCGAGAUAGUGAAAAGUUACUCCCGCGAAGUUGUAGGGAUGAUUAAAUUAAUAAUUUGUUACCCAAUUGUGCUAUCAUUGCUGAGUUCAUCUAUAAACUCACCACUAUGAG
rnacentral:lncRNA from 1 species